UGUCUGCAUUGUGGCUGGUAAAUGCAAUAGGCUAGUGUUACAUAAAAGAUAGCUUAUUAGGCAAGGGAUAGAAGACCUAAUUACAUGCCUUUGGGAGUGGUCCACUUUCCUCUAUCAACUAAAGUGUCCAAUAUUUAUAUAAUACUCACAAAAGCCAGCAUUCUGGUUUAAAGAUGAAAACUAAUUACAAGACAGACAUGAAAUAAUACUGUUAAAUCCACACGUUGCCUCCUUUAAAUUGAUGUUUGUUUGCCAUGUAUCAUUUUGGUACAAAGUUUAACCUAUUUAGGGAUACCUGAUUCAUUUGCUGUGAAGAUGGGAUACAUACGGUAUAUUACGCUAGUCAAGUGUUCCAAGAGUUUGUAACACUCGAGUGGCUUGUGUGAUGACGUAUCACACGAGAGGCGGAGCCACGAGUGUGAUGCGAAAUAGCACAAGCCACGAGGGUGAUACAAACUCUUGGAACACUUGACUAGCGUUAUAUUCCUUUUAUUAUAUACAACAACUAACGAAAACAGUUAACAAUUGGAUUUUUUACUUCAACAAAACUGACAAAACAAUGACUAAAAAGGUACGCCAUAGUUUAUUUAAGACGCGUAUGAAUACAGUUUAUGUAAAUUAACGUGUAAACAUUCGAACCGGGAAAACACAGUUUUCCGACACGCUUACCUUUAUGGCAUCGUUAAUCCAAUGUUUAUAACAAUUAAGUUGACAACUUUAAUCCGAUGUUUAUAACAAAAACGUUGAAACAAUAUGCACUUCCACUUCUAUCUUCCAGGUCUUUAUCAAAACUUAGUUUAAACCACGCUUUUUUAUUGUAAUUCUAUCGAAAUAUACAUUUAUGCAUGAUAAACACACACUCCAAAGUACGUUAUGAAUUAGUUCGAUGUUUUUAACAAAUAGUUUACUGUUAAAAAACACCACGUCCGACAGGUCCUUAAAUUCCAUAGAGUUUAGAUAAAACUAUUGUGUUUCGUCACAGAAAUGACGUCACACGAUGUACUACAUAAUAUAUUUCGUAAUUUAAAAUAUUUCUAUUUUCGGUGCGCGUAAUGUGACGUCAUUAAAUGGGUCGAAGUAGUCCGGCUAGUAUGGUAAUACGGAAUUGGAAACAGCGAGUAGCGUAAUACGGGAUUUUUUAUUUCAACGAUUGAUACAACCUGUAUUUUGUUAAAAGCAUUAAACAGGUAUAUAAUUUAAAAAAAUAUUCCUGACCAGGGAACAGUAAUGCAAAUAUGGAUCCUGUCAAGAAUAUGUUAAGAUUUUAUUGACCAUACCAAGUAAAUAGACACUGCAUUGAGAACAAACCUUCUGUGACUGCCCUGAUAGGGAAACUUGCUCAACAAGGUUAAACUGGGUGACUUGGAUGUUUAUAACAUAGAAGUAUGACAUUAACAAAAAUAGUAAGUUGGGGGAAUGAUCAGUAUUUUCAGUAAAAAUAUUAUUGUAUUUUGUGUUUGCUUUAUUUUGUUCACAAAAUCAUGACUACUUGUGACUGCAAUCUUUUUACACUUCAAGGAAUUGUUCACAGAUUAUCAGAAAGACAAUUUUCCAACUUUUUGCAAAAAAUGAACAUCAAGCAGCAAAAAAAGCAUUAAUUUAGGCUUAAAAUACAUUUUGUAUUAUGAGUAUCAUCAUUUGAAAUUGAGAAAAUUAUAAAGCUUAACAAACACAUAAUGAUUAAAUAUUUGUUUCAGUUGUUUUGUGACAAUAUAUGUAGUGUAUGGCAAGUGGUUCGACGCAUAAUCCCAAGAAACUAGGUUUUUCAUGAGAACCUAGGUUAUCAGAGAGAACGAUGUGAAAAGCUGUCGAGAACCUAGGUUCUUGUGAAAACCUAGGAUAUCAAACGAGAACUUAAGUUCUCAGAAUGAGAACCUAGUUUAUCAUGAGAACCUAAGUUCUAUGUGUCUAUGAGAAUCUAGGUUCUCAUGAAAAACCUAGUUUCUCAUGAGAACCUAGGUUCUCUAGUGUAAACCUAGGUUUUCAAAUGAGAACAUAGGUUCUCAUGAAAACCUUGGUUCUUAUGAGAAACCUGGUUUCUUGGGAUUCCAUAAACCUAGUUUCUCGUGAGAACCUAGGUUCUCAUGAGAAACCUAGUUUCUUGGGAUUAUGCGUCGAACCGCUAGCCAUACCUCCAGUUGUCUCCCAUUGCUUGUGACACGCUGGCAGCAUACAUGUAAAACGAUACAAAAUAGGCGUAACACAGUGAACGUUACUCCGCAGGAACAUUUUUUCUACAAUGUUCAGGCAAUGCUCAGUAAUAUUCUACGAAACAAAUUCAGAUCAAUCGUUACAUAAUACAUUGUUACAGCAUUAAAUGAGUUACAGAUAUUCAGUUCCCUUGUUCAGGCCUCAAACGACUGUACGGUACUUUUUAUGUCCCCCACUAUAGUAGUGGGGGACAUAUUGUUUUUGCCCUGUCUGCUGGUUUGUUGGUUGGUCUGUUGGUUGGUUUGCGCCAACUUAAACAUUUUGCAAUAACUUUUGCUAUAUUGAAGAUAGCAACUUCAUAUUUGGCAUGCAUGCGUAUUUUAUGAAGCUGCACAUUUUGAGUGGUGAAAGGUCAAGGUCAUCCUUCAAGGUCAGAGGUCAAAUAUAUGUGGCCAAAAUCGCUCAUUUUAUGAAUUCUUUUGCAAUAUUGAAGAUAGCAACUUCAUAUUUGGCAUGCAUGUGUAUCUCAUGGAGCUGCACAUUUUGAGUGGUGAAAGGUCAAGGUCAAGGUCAUCCUUCAAGGUCAGAGGUCAAAUAUAUGUGGCCCAAAUCGCUUAUUUUAUUGAAGAUAGCAACUUGAUAUUUGGCAUGCAUGAGUAUCUCAUGGAGCUGCACAAUUUGAGUGGUGAAAGGUCAAAGUCAUCCUUCAAGGUCAGAGGUCAAAUAUAUUUAAUCCAAAUCGCUUAUUUUAUGAAUACUUUUGCAAUAUUGAAGAUAGCAACUUGAUAUUUGGCAUGCAUGUGUAUCUCAUGGAGCUGCACAUUUUGAGUAAUGAAAGGUCAAGGUUAUCCUUCAAGGUCAAAUAUAUGGGUCAAAAUUGCUCAUGUAAUGUCACUUCUGCAAUAUUGGAGCUAGCAAUUUUAUAAUUGAAAUGCAUGUGUAUCUCAUGGAGCUGCACAUUUUGAGUGGUGAAUGGUCAAGGUCAUCCUUCAAGGUCAGAGGUCAAAUAUAUGUGGCCCAAAUCGCUUAUUUUAUGAAUACCUUUGAAAUAUUGAAGAUAGCAACUUGAUAUUUGGCAUGCAUGUGUAUCUCGUGGAGCUGCACAUUUUGAGUAAUGAAAGGUCAAGGUCAUCUUUCAAGGUCAAAUAUAUGGGUCAAAAUUGCUCAUGUAAUGUCACUUCUGCAAUAUUGGAGCUAGCAAUUUUAUAUUUGAAAUGCAUGUGUAUCUCAUGGAGCUGCACAUUUUGAGUGGUGAAAGGUCAAGGUCAUCCUUCAAGGUCAAAGGUCAAAUAUAUGUGGCUCAAAUCGCUUAUUUUAUGAAUACUUUUGAAAUAUUGAAGAUAGCAACUUGAUAUUUGGCAUGCAUGUGUAUCUCAUGGAGCUGCACAAUUUGAGUGGUGAAAGGUCAAGGUCAUCCUUCAAGUCAGAGGUCAAAUAUAUGUGGUCCAAAUCGCUUAUUUUAUGAAUACUUUUGCAAUAUUGAAGAUAGCAACUUAGUAUUUGGCAUGCAUGUGUAUCUCAUUGAGCUGCACAUUUUGAGUGGUGAAAGGUCAAUGUCAUCCUUCAAGGUCAAAUAUAUGGGUCAAAAUUUCUCAUGUAAUGUCACUUCUGCAAUAUUGAAGCUAGCAAUUGCAUAUUUGAAAUGCAUGUGUAUCUAAUGAAGCUGCACAUUUUGAGUGGUGAAGGGUCAAGGUCAAGAUCAUCCUUCAAGGUCAAACAUCAUAUAGGGGGUCAUUGUGUUUCACAAACGCAUCUUGUUGAUAAUAGAAGUUUAAAUAAUACAAACCUUUAUUUCAAGCUGUGACCUUUUAUUUUGUAUCCAUUACUUGUGAAAACAUGACUUGUGUACUGCUGAACGGGGGCGGGGGGGGGGGGGUGGUGGCUUUUUCUAUUACAGUCAUGAUUUUUGUUUUGUAAUGAUUGCCUGCAUGCAGAUUUAUGUGUUAUUUAAGUUAAUUUCUUUCAAACAAUUUUUAAUUUAUGAGACACUGUUGGGGGCUCCAUAUAAAACAGUUUUUCUUAAAAUAAUUCAUUAUUUCACUUUUGAAAUUUUCACACGUCAUUGCUUUAAUAAAUACAAACCAAGGGGGCUAUUGCAAAAUAGGCUUAAUGCAUGUUUAUGAAGUAGAAAUGUUACUUUUUUAUUUUUCAGUAAAGAACUGCAUUUGCUUAUCUGGGAAAUUCUGGACGCACAUGCAUUAAGCCCAGUUUUCUAAGAUACCCGCACAAAUAUAUUUGACAUUUGUGAUUGACGAUUUUAGGCUUUUCAUACUAACAGUCCUUAUGUGUAGAUCUCCGCAAAAGUCUUAAUCGUUAUAUUUGCCUUAUCUUAGUGAAACCCAGUUUAAUGUUGUGUUUAUAUAGUAAAUUUUAUGGACUGAUCAAACAUAAUUGUUUACAAUAAUUUAUUUUACCUGAAGAACAAAGUGCAUGGUAUUGAUAUGGUUUCGUUUCACAUUUAUUGACAGCCUAGCCAAUAAAACUGAUAUUUAAACAAUAAUGUGACACCCAGUGUGGAAAAAAAAUGUAUGUAUCGGAAAUAUGUUUAAGUUAGCUGCUUGUUUUGUUUGUGUUUGGUCCAAAAUUAAUUGAUAUAAGAAAAUCUUAUUUUUUACACAAUACCAUGUUAUCAUCCUAUGAACAUGAUUAAUAUUCAUUAGAAUUAGCUGUAAUCCAAUCAUUAUGUAUUUGUCCAGUUUUGAACAUGUUUUCUUUGUAUUGCACUGAAGUACAAGCGGUUAUUUUGAUUUACAACAUUAAAAACCAUCACCUUAGAUACGCACUUGUCUGAUUGUAAAAUAUCUUAUAUAGUUUGAAUGUUCUCAAAUGAUUUAUUGUCAAGACAUACAGUAUUAAUCUAGAGAAAACAACAUUUUACAUACAUUUAAUUUACUCCACUGUUUAUAAAUCAAGAAAAGUUAUUGUAGUGAGCAUGUGUACACUUUAAUAGUACAAGGAAAACACUGUUGUCGGGCUGGUUCAAAAGAGUUCUUUAUGCAAAUCUGUUGAAAUGAGUCAUAAUAAUGAACUAAUCGUUGUUAUUUUGAAAUUUAAAUGUAUAGUUUAUUUUGUUCGUUCGGUUUAUAUGUAGACGGAAAAAAGUUGACCUGUUUGCUUGAAACAUUUUUGUGUACAAUGUUCAUCUUAUCGCAAGUACUUGAUAUAUAAAAAUAAUUGCUAUAUUUUGUAUCUCAAAUUUAAGGUGACAUACCAUUCGGUACAAUUAAAAAGGAAGAGUCAUUUAAAUAAGACCAGUAAAUUUAGAGACAUUGUUGUGAAUAAAUUCUAUUAACAUCAGAAAGAAUAUUGAUUGAACUUAAACAUGUAAAUGACAUUGGAAAAUGUGUACAAUAUUGUAUUGCAAUUUAUUUCACUCGUUCUAUUUUUGGUCGUAGAUUUAAAGCCAUUUGAAGAUCAUGCAUCAUUUGAAAGUUAAAACUUCAGAUUUUUGUAGAAUCUGUAGCAUAUUUUCUAACAUACAUGGCGGAUAUGUAAAUUGGCGGGUUUGAACAGUUGUUAACUAGAUUUCAUUAUAUGCAAAUUAUUAAGUAUAUGCAAAUUGAAUUGAAUUUACAUUUAUGUUGUUCAAAUUGCAAGGACAAUCUGUAAGCUGUGUUGUUAACAGUCAUGUGUGUAUUAAUAAUAUUAGGCUAGACUUUCCGUGCACUGUUCAUAGCCAGAAUAUGAGGGCCAAAAUAUGGUUGUGAUUAAGUUUUGAUCUAAUAAUGUUUGUUUCUUGAAUAAUUUCCUGUGUACCUGCUCAUUGUUUUACACGUUUUAAAGCGUCCACACAAUAUGUACACUUACACCACUGUCAUUGUCUUGAUAAUCAGUAUACGGCGUGAUUAUAUUGUCCAGAAAUAAUCCUGGUACUUUGUUUAACCCGGAUUUGUCAUUCCAGUUUUUGUGAUAACGGAGUUCACUUGAGAAAAGAAUCACAUGUUUUUUUGUUUUAUUAUGUUUUUUUUUAUUAUUUUUGAUACUAACAUAGAAGUAAUGUGAUUUCAAUAAAAUUGGAAUUGGACGAAA